rnacentral:rRNA from 1 species
UGAGGAAUAUUGGUCAAUGGGCGCAAGCCUGAACCAGCGACGCCGCGUGGGUGACGAAGGUUUUCGGAUCGUAAAACCCUUUUCUGCGUGACGAGGCAGGACGGUAGCGCAGGAAUAAGUCUCGGCUAACUACGUGCCAGCAGCCGCGGUAAAACGUAGGAGACAAGCGUUAUCCGGAGUUACUGGGCGUAAAGGGCGUGCAGGCGGCCUGUUAAGUCUGUUGUGAAAGCACCCGGCUAAACUGGGUGAGGUCAAUGGAUACUGGCGGGCUAGAGGGCGGUAGAGGCGUGUGGAAUUCCGGGUGUAGUGGUGAAAUGCGUAGAUAUCCGGAGGAACACCAGUGGCGAAGGCGACACGCUGGGCCGCACCUGACGCUAAGACGCGACAGCAUGGGGAGCGA